rfam:Rhinolophus ferrumequinum clone VMRC7-305L23, complete sequence.
CCCGCGUGGCUCAUAUCCACAGUCUCAAGUGCAGAAAAUAAUUAGAGUAGUCUCUUAAUAAACGUGCAGCCAGCCAACGAAUCAUGAAAACACAACCACAAAGAAAACUCACACCGACAGUAACACUCCAGAGACAGUUCAGAAACAAGUAUAUUUUGCAGGAAAGCUUACCUGCCAUCUUUCUUGAAGUCUGGAAG